rnacentral:rRNA from 1 species
UACGUAGGGGGCAAGCGUUGUCCGGAUUCAUUGGGCGUAAAGAGCGUGUAGGCGGCCAGGUAGGUCGGUUGUGAAAACUGGAGGCUCAACCUUCAGAGGUCGACCGAAACCAUCUGGCUAGAGUCCGGGAGAGGAGAGUGGAAUUUCUGGUGUAGCGGUGAAAUGCGCAGAUAUCAGGAAGAACACCCGUGGCGAAGGCGGCUCUCUGGGACGGUACUGACGCUGAGACGCGAAAGCGUGGGGAGCGAACAGG